rnacentral:rRNA from 1 species
CCCACCUCUUCCCAUUCCGAACAGAGAAGUUAAGCUCACUUGCGCCGAUGGUACUGCAAUGCAAUGCGGGAGAGUAGGUAGCCGCCUCCU